CCUACGGGAGGCAGCAGUGGGGAAUCUUGCGCAAUGGGCGAAAGCCUGACGCGGCAACGCCGCGUGCGGGAAGAAGGCUUUCGGGCUGUAAACCGCUUUCAGUAGGAACGAAACUGACGGUACCUACAGAAGAAGGAGCGGCCAACUAUGUG
rnacentral:rRNA from 1 species